AAGCUGUUACUUCAGAUGAAAGUUUUCCAGAGGAAAGACUUUGAGACUUUGUUCUCCCAAAACAUGGCAUAGGAUUCUUCUCCAUGGAAGAAUUCCUUCUGCUUGAAAUGGGCUUUGCUUCCCAAAGCAGCAGUGGGAUGGUGUAGCUUUAUUCUGUGCUCACUGAAGUCAGUAGGAUGUCUUGGAAGUCUACAGAACAGCAUCAGCCUCAUGGGGAACUUUAUAACCUGUCAGAAGCCUUUUCUACAGCACAGCCUUAGCUGCAAAUUUUUCUUUGCAUCAAACACACAGUGACCAGGUCAUCUAAAUGUAUUGGAAAUCUUUGGAGCUGCAAAAGGACUCAGUGGGCUUUGAAUUACUUCCAAAGGCCUUCAAGCCUCUUUCUACAGUUAAACUUGCCCUUGAAGCUCUGCAAAUGUGUUGUAUUAAUUUUUCAUUAAAGUUCCUUUGUUUUGUUGUGUAUAGCGUACAAAAAAUGAAAAUAUGUUUUCCUUACAGAUGCUGUUCUUAAAUAGAAAGGGCAUAUGAGAAGAAAGUACAUAUGAAUAUAUUGGUGGAAACUAUACAAAAGACUACAAAAAAAAUAAACACUGCAUUCAGAUUAAUAUGCUGGAGAAAAAUCAGCAAAACCUCUAGAUCUGGUGUGGUAUUUCACAAAGUUGCUGGAGAUGCUAGAGGUCAAUGGGCAAGGGUCACCCAGUGUUUACAAAAAACCAAGCAGUUGAAACCAAUGAAGUCUCCAGCUUUUGAUGAUUGACUGAUUCUGCUGAGCUGGCUACUGAAAGCAGAGUGUGAGCUGGAAAGUCUGAUUGACAUGUGUGAUACAGGCUUCUGAGCUCCUUCACCAGCAGCCCUUGGAGCAGCCUUGUGGCAGGAGUGGAGCAAAUGAGGAACACUUAACUGGGGAAGCAAACUUAUGCUCAAGCAGAGAAGGAGUUUUUUCACAUUGUUAUUAGAUGUCAGAAAAUUUACCCGUGUUCUUUCAGAAGCAGCCAAAAGCACCAGCCCCCUUACCCCUACCCCCCAGGCGAAAGUGACAUUAGUAACAGUAAGAAAACUUUCCAUAUUUAUUUGUGAGACAAAUGAAAAUCAUAAUGUGUCUACAAGAGCUUUGAAGUGAGACACAAUGAUAGGACAUCAAGGAAAACUAUCUGGACGAGCUCUGGACAGGUAGAUUGUAUAAACAAUUCCUGGAAAAUAUUCUUAAGGAAGGUUUGGUACCCCUACUGCCAAAAUUUCUGAGAGAAAACCUUUCUCUGUGAGAAAAAAAUAUGGGAAAAUAUAGCUUGUAAUUGAAUGUAAAAUUGGAGGCUUACAUUACUUUUUGUCAAACAGGUCUUGCUUUGUUUCAGAGUAUGAGAUGUAGGACCAGGCACAGCCAAUAUAUAGCAUAAUCUACAAAUUAUCCCUCAGAUACAGAGGGCAGUAAUAUAAUGUUUUAAGAAAAAAAAAUCUUCUGGAUAGCUGAUAGAAAACUUAAUCAAUUUUUACAGACAUCUAAAAUAAAACCAGAGAAUUAUCUGCAGGAAGUGAACUAGUCCUACAAGAAAAGGAAACAGUUCUUUUGAAGAAAAUGUGGAAAUUUGAGAAAAAUCCCACAGAACUCAUGCUGAUAUUGUGCUGACCAAAAAACAUGCAAGAAUAAUUGCAAAAAGAAUUAGAAUUCAACACAAGGCAGAAACAGAAGAAAAAAAUACUUUUAUUGUACAGAGACUAUUAAGGAUAAACUUACAAUAAGUGUAAUUUCUUAAUAAGUUUUUACACAGUAAGUGUAAAAACUUACAAUUUGUGCUAAUUUCCGAGGCAGAGCCUGAAAACAUUUGCCAAUGGAAUUAUUCAAACAGAGAGGUGACCAUGACCUGCUUGCAGCAACUAUUGCACCAGUUUUAUUAAUGAAAUUCAGCUAAAUAGUUCGUCAGCAAGGCAAUUAAUAACAACAGGAUAGCAUUAGACAGCAACAUUUAUGAUAAAGUUUUUUCAUAUAACAGAACACAUGAAAUAUCCCAGAAUUUCAGAUAUUUGAAAGGUAUGGGGGUCUCGUAGAUGCCUUUGCAGCCUGUAUUAUUUGGAGAUCAAUAGACUUGGAAAACUAUGUUGAAACAGCAAAACAAACAUUAAGGCACAUGAACAUGAUUAAGACCCUAUCUUGGUUUACUUCACUAUAAAACCACACCUCUGCACCCGAGAGCCUCAGUCACAUGUGCAGUAUGGAACCAGGAAGAUCACUUUGGCAAAAAGAAAUUUGAGGGUGUUCUCAUGAACUCAACCACCUCUUAUUAUAGGACUGUGAACUGUGACAACAAAAGUGGUGAGGGUAAAGAAAUGUAACUGUCUAGCAAACCUUUAGGUCCAACCACCAAGCAGAGACAAAGAGGCCUCUCAUUUGCAGACAAUGAAAACACAAACCAGCAAAAGAUAUAAAAACUGUGGUUCAAGUCAAAGAAGCCACAUUCACUCCAGAUAAAAAGAUAUUCCAAGCAGGAUUACCAUCCUUCUGUUUUCUCAUGAACACAAAUUACUUCUGACUUAGAAAUUGUCUGGCACAAUAUAGAGAAACUGUGUAUUUAUCUAAGAUUUGGAGGUAUGCAGCAACCCUUUUUCUGGGAAAUCUGACAAUUGUGCAACGGCAGUGAGCAUGUGCAGUUGUGAGGAGAGGUGUGGCAUACAUUAGAAACCUUGGACAUUCAUAACACAUUGGAGAUUGUGGCUCCAUGUGUAGAGCAGGCUUAAUGUUUCUCCAAGAAGCACAGCUGUACAUGUACAAUUUGAUGGCACAGCCCAGAAAUUCCAGUUCCAUUCUUCAGGUGAAGCACAGAUUACUUCUGUGCACAGUGACUCAACAGUGACAGUGCACUACUCCAAUUCUAAUAUGGGUAAGAGCAGUUUCAUCUAGCUCUGCACCUUGUUUCCAACAGUGACGACCAAGUAAGUUUUCUGAGAAGGUUAUAAGGGCCCUCUAGAAGCCCUUCCCAAAAUACAUGUUGAGUGUCUGCUGAUCAGUAAUUCUGUGACUUCCUGAACUAUUUGAUGUGGGUUUGUAUUGAAUAGUCCUAGAUCUCUUUUUGUUCCAUGAAUUUAUCAAAAUCUUAUUUUGAAUUCAGGUACAGUUUCAACAUCCACAAUGUCCUGGCACAAGUUCUGUUGGUUAAUGAUGUGAUGAGUGAAGACACAGGUCCUUUUGUUUGCCUUCUGGCUUCAUUUGAUAUCUUCUAGAUUUUGAGCUGAAAGAAACAGUUAUUUCCUACUUACCUUAUUCAGGCCACUCCUGAUUUUACUGUUUUCUAGUAUAUUAUUUAUUUUUGCAAACAAAACCUUUAAUCUAUUUUAUUGUUCAUCUUGUAAUCACUCCAUAUCUUUAAUCAUACUUGUUGCACUUAUCUGUAUCUUUUACAGGACUUCUAUAUCUGUCUUCAGAUGGACACAUAACUAUAAACACUGCUGAAGAUAUGGAUAUGUAAUGUAUUUAUACAACAGAAAAAUAAUAUUUUAUAUUCUUGAUUCCUUUUGUAGUGAUUUUUAGCAAUGUUUGUCCUCAUUUUACAUUCCUCCACAGUGAAUUUUUUGUUGCCUAGUCAUUACAUGGUAGGAAAGUCUUAUGUGAUGUCUGCAAUCAGCCAGAGUCUGUAUCACUGACUAAUUCAGUGCCAUCAGCAAAUAUUUUCAUCCUUUUUUGACACUGUUUUCUGAUCCCUUGUGAUCUGUGUUGAGCAAUUCAGACUUCAGCACAAAGCCAUGUGGGACUCCAUGUGUGAUCUCUUUCUACUUUAAGAGUCAACUAAUACUUUACUUAAUUUCUUCCCAUCUUCUGAACAUUUCUUCAUGUCUGAUUAGCUUCCUCAAGAGCCUCAAGAGAGGCAACUUUUUAAGUGCCUUCUGGAAAUCCAGACAGAUGGUAUCAAACAUAUUUGUGCUGCCAAUGUUUUAUUGACAUAUCAGAGAACUUUGGUAGAUAGGAGAAGCACAACUUCUCUUUAGAAAAACCAUGCUGGCUCUUUCUCAUUGUACCAUAUUUAUCCUGAUGUCUACCAAUUCUGUUGCUUAUUAUUGUUUCUUCUGUUUGAAUCAGGGUAUUAGUUCUGAGUAUUGAAGGUCUGCCCUGCAGUCCUGCUUAAAAACUGGUAUGAGGGCAGUGAGCAAUAAGUUUAGCAAUGGCUUCUCUGGGCUGUCUCUAAAGGGAGAUGAAUUAAAUGGAUACACAAUUAAGCAGCUGGAUUCCUGCCCUUGAAUUGCAUGCAGGAGACACCCCCAAGAUGCUGUGCCCAUGCUCUGGCAUGGGCUGAGCAGUGCUGCUGGGAUCACUGCAUUUGAGAAGCUUCUUAAUCAAAAUCCUGCUGAGUGUUUGCUCUCCUGUAGAUCUCCAUUUCUGUGAGCAGUAUAGAAGACAACCAUUCAUGUUUCAUUUAGAAUGAAGCAAAGCAAAACCAAAAAACAACUCAUGGCAACAUGUAGAUUUGCAUUUAACCAGAGAUCAGGCUUUUCAGGAAUGGUGAAUUUUGCUGAGCAUAUUAAAAGGCUGUUUAUUUGGUAAUACCUGUUUUACAGAAUGUGACUGUCGACUUGACUGGAUUUGUAUAAUGCAAGUAAAGGCUAAAAUUAAAAGCAGAUUUAAACUGUGAGUACAGAUAAGUUUGUGAGCAUUCCACUUUAGCAGUUGUCUAUGGACCUCAGAAUAUUUUGACUUUCUCUGGUUUUGUAUUUACUAUUCAAAGCAUUCAGACACACUAUUACCUACUCAAUGACUGCCAGAUAGAUUAUGGGAAAAAUGGUGUGCUUUACUAUGUUAAAUGCUCCUUGGUUGUUGGUUGUAUGGGAGAAAGAUAAUGUAAUCCAAAGAGUUGCUAAUGGAUUCUGCAGGUAUUUCCAAUAAGAUAGGCUGUAUGUACAUAUAGCAGAUUUGAUCAAUUAAAUGUUUGUCAACUAUAUGUCUUGUUCCAGGAGACUUCCUGGCUACUCAGCAAAUAUAUCCUUCCAACACACUGACACCAUACUAAUUUGUAAAAAAUACUAAUGGUUCAGGCAGUGUGUCUUUCACAGGGCUGUAACUUCAAAAAACAUUAGUGAAAGAAAUUUGCCUUAUUAUUUUUAUACAUUGCCUGUGAUUAUUGCUGUCAUAAAUUAGAAAUACUCAGGUGUGUUUUCUGCCAUGCAUGCUUUCGAUCUGCUUGAUGCUGUCUGUAAUGAAAGGCACAACUUUUAUCUUUGUUCCUCUGCCCACAUGCUUAUGCCAUUGUUUCCUUGAUAUUAAUAAUUUACAUCCUGUUAAAUUCUUUGACACAAAUACUUUGAAAAUGCUCAGUAUGUGCUAUAAUACCUCAUGGCAAUUUUUUUUAUCUUGCUAAUUUUGUUUCUGAAGUUACAUCAGUAAAGGAGGGAAAGCCAUUCUCCAUUUGUAAACACAAAGUCCCUGGACAAUACUGCCCAGGGACUUAGUGUUUACAACCAUCCAGAAGGCAAUAAGCGUGAAUUUUGCAUUUUGAUUGAGAUGGUUAAUGCUGAUGUGAAAACAACAAACCCCUCCAUGUUUGCAGAAGACUGACUACUGACUGUGCAUCUGGCAAUGUAAAAGGUAUAUAAUUUUUUCCAUGUACAGAGAAUAUGUUGCACUUAGAAAAUAGAACCAAAUAGAAUGGUUUCUGACUCUAAUCAUGUAGAGUUUCUUCUGUGAUGAGUAGAAAUUGAUGCUUACCAGAAGUAUAAAUUGGUAGAACAACCAGGAACAGUAAAACAGUAGGCAGCUUCAAAGUUAAAUAAUUAACCAGCAAACAUACAUGCAAUCAAUACUGCAAGCAAGUUCUGUUAAUGCUGAGGUCUUAGCCCUUUCAAGAGUGCAUUUAUUCGAGCAAUUACUGCAUUUUUAUACAUAAGAGCUAAAUAAAAGGAGAAAAAAAGAUAAUUUUAAAAGAGCUUGAUAUUAAUUUUCUUCAAUAAGGGAUGCUGAAAUAUAACAGCUGCAUUGUACUUUACCCUCAUUCUUUGUGCAGAUUUCUUUUUAUCACAGCUGAAUCAUUCUUGUCUUCCUCUUUCUAUUUUAGUUCAUAUUUACAGAUUUUAUAAUCCACUUUAGUUUGCUAUGAAGCUAAGAAGCCCAAAGUCUGUACUAUGAAAAUGGAACAGUUUAAACUACUGGAAGUUGCAUGCUAGUAUUUUUGGUUUUCUGGAUUUGUUUGUUUUGCAAGUGGAAUUUCUCAGAAUUCAGUCAUGACCACAGGAUCAUUCAAUGGUACUAUUAAUCACCUUCAUUAAUUAUCAAAAUAAGAAUAUGCUAAUGAACUUUUUGGUGGCAAAAGGCUAAAGAAGGAAAAAGGCAGUCCUUGAAGACCUGAGGACCAGGAACAGGGUGGUAGUUAGAGCAAAAUCUAUUGCACUGGAGGGUAGUUCCAUUACAGGCCUUGUCACAGAGUUUGCAUUUACACCUUCUCAUCAAUUUCUAGACGGUGUAAAAAUCCUUUCCCCUCAGAGCAUGCGCAUGAAUAAGAACAUGCACCACCUCUACUAUAUGUGAUUCCUCUUUCUAAUGGCUAUCACUUAAAUUCUACCUCUGCCAUCCAGGAUAUCCUUUGUGUGUCUCCAGGUCAGAACUGUGACUCCUGAACCAAGAUGUUUGUCUUAUGGCCAAGUUUGUCUGGGCUUUUCUCCUUCCACAGCCUCCAAGUUUCUGGGGAAGUUCUACAUUCAGGGGAAGAAAAACUGAGCAUCUUAUUUAUUUACUUAUCCAGCAUUUCCUAUGGGCCUGAGGUGACAAGACUGGAUCAUAGGGAUGGAUUUCUCAAGAAAGAGCCCUCCUUGAAGGCUAGGUCAGUUGGCUUACUUGCAUUCUGGGUCCUAUUCCAGUGUUACAUUGUCUGUGGCAAUGCCAAAGCCUUGAUUAGCCUUGAUCAGUAGCUGAUAGCUUCAGGUAUUGCAAGACCACAAUUAGAUCACCCCAAAGCCUUCUCUUCUCCAGGUUGAAUAAACCAAAUUCUUUCAGCCUUUUCUUGUACAAGAGGUCUUCCAUCCCUCUAACCAUCUUGGUGGCCCUCUUCUGGACUCAUUCCAACAGGUCUAUGUCUUUCUUGGGCUGAGGACCUGAGAGCUGGAUGCAGUACUCCAGGUGGGAAUAAUGACAGCCACCCAUUAGAGAACCUUUGGCCAUUUCUUGCUGCUGUUCUUGGGCAGCAAGCAUCUCUCUGGGAAAUUACAUACAAAAAGCUUCUUCCUGUGUUUCCUUAUUUUCCUUCAGAAUUACAUCUACUCCUUCUGCCUUUUAGCCUUCAUCCUCAGCAUGCAGAUGCAGAGAUUAGGGAAUUUUUUCAAUAAUCUAGAAUUUGGCACGCACCUAAUCUUCCCCAUCCAAGAAAGACUGAUUCAUCAUAGAGAAUUUAUUUGACUCUCCUGCUAUGAGGAAGACCCUGUUAGAAAUGAUGAACAGUUUAUGACACCAGAAUAGGGCAAAAGCAUAACUUUUCUAGUAUAGUGAAACAAAGAUGGUUGUGAUGAAGAGAUAUUUUGUGCUGGAAAGAAUAUCCUUGAAAAAUUGAGGUUGAAAAUAAGAAAAACCUCCCAGUUAUAGCACCGAGGUUUUGGUAUAAUAUUCUUGUGUGGCCAGUGGAGGCAAAUAAUGUGAUUUAUUUGGAGAUGAAGCUUGACAGUGUUAUUAAUUGGAUUAUAUUCAGAUUUACCUGUGAUGGCAGGAACUUGGACUUGGUGACUUUUGCUGAUGUUUUCCAGUUCUUACCCUAUGUUCACCUAUUCCUAAAGUUGGAGAGCCUUUUAGCCUAAUUUCAACAGUCAGAGAAGUCAUAAGAAACUUCAGAUUACAGAGCAGCUCCCAGGUGAACUCCAUAUGAUGGUCUUGAGGACAGCAAUAGCAUUAGAUAAUACUCUUAUUUAAAAAAAACCCAGCUUCUCCUCACUCUGUGUGGGCUGAUUGAGAACUCCUUCUCAAAACGAGAUGGCUCAUCAGUUCUAGAUUUCACAGUCUGUAUUUAUUUAUUCUUAUGAUUACAUUGUCUUUUAGCUGAAGUAGAACUUUUUUCUCCUUGAUUUUUUUAAUUCAUUGAUAUACUUAUGGAUCAGUUGUAUCCCUUUUCGGUCUUCAUCUCCAAGUCUUUAUUAUUCUCUGGAAAGAGACUUUCCAUUGGCCUUUUCACACUAAUAGGCCCUCUGGAAGUUACUGCAAUCUCUUUACAAACAUAUUGAUAGAGCAAUACUAACACUCAUUGAUGAGUGUUAUUUGCAUUUUUCUAUUAGGUCUUGAAAAAAUUCAAGUUGGAAAAUGAGUUUACAGAGAGAAUUGGCUUCCCUACCUCUAUUUAAACUGUUUAUUUUUAGCUAAAUAUUACUGAAUAUGGAAGCAGUCCGGUUUACAUCCUGGUUUGAUUUCCUGUUUACAUGAGGCAGACUGGUGUCACCAUCGUAUUUCUGGACCACUCUGGAAGCUUGUGUGCAGCCUUCCUUCCACCUCCAAGGAGAGCUGCCCUACACAAUGGAACUAUUGUUGUGCUCUCUGAUAAUGAAAUAUGAAAUAUUGUUGAACACAGUAUAUGCUAGGUUUAUGUCACUUUGCUAUAGCACACAGAUAUAACAGCAAACCUUUCACUGAAAUGUGGGGAGAAAACUCACGUUAGAGAAUAAAGUCAUAACUGUACCCAUAGUUUUUUGAAGUUAACAUAUAAACAGAUCUGGUCAUAUAUAGGGUGGCUCUCUAUAGUAUAAUUUAUGUGGGCUUGAGGGGGAGGGGUGUCUUUAGUUUCAUUUUUUUUUCCCCUUCCCAUCUGGUUUUGCUUACUAUUUCCCUCAAGAGACUAUUAAAAAAAUUUUUUUUUUUUUAUUCUACAAAAUAGUUGAGAAUCUGAACUGGUCAUUAUGACUACUAAUGAUCAUAACAGCAGACAUUUCACAGGAGGGACUCAAGGAGCUCAGUUUCACCAGUCCAUCUAAUGCAUUAGCAGUCUCUGUCCUUGUUAUUAUUUUAAUAGAGUUUUCAAAAUAAAAUGGAAUAGUAUGUGCAUCCAGAGAAUGCUCAUACCAGGUAAAAGAGCAGUGUUUCACAAUUUUGGCUUAGAUUCUAUCAAGCAAAUUUUGUUUUAUUUUCAGUAAAGAUGCAUUUUAGAGAAGUGGGAAUACUUUAAUGUGUACUGAUGAAUGUAAAACUAGAGACAAACAAGUCUAAGAUUUUUUUUAAGGGUGAUAUAAAUACUGCUAUGCUAAUGGAUAAGAACCCUGAAACUGAACUGGUUAAUUCUGUUGUUCUCAAGGCUGAUUCUCAAUAACUGAAUAAGAUAAAUUAAGCAAAGCUCAUUCUGUUUAUAGUAACCUUUUGGAUUAGUCAAUGCAAAAUUCCAUACUAUGAUUAUUUUUUUACAAGGGAUACUGAAAACUUGAUUUUUAUUCAAUUACCCAUUUUAAAAUCACAUUUUGAAUGAGUCCCUCCCAUUAGAACAUCCAGAUUCUUUCCUGGUGUCUUUUAAACACACCAGUUUUUUUAGCAAUGCUCUUUUUGAUACUUGCAGGCAAAGGCUGGAGAGCACAGACACCUAGCAUGGCCUGUGCCCAGGCUUACCUUCUGCUGCUGCUAUUUCCAUUUCAGAUGUGCUGCGGCUGUGCCUGGGGAAUACCCUCGAGGAAAGCUUUGUCACAGGGAGGCAAAUGAGGUUCCCCAGGGCAGCCCACCAGUGCAGUGCUGCAGCAACCCACGCCCGGCUCAGGGGCACUGCCCAGGCACAAGGCAGGGCUCAGAAAUUCUGUGUCCAAUUUGAAUAGGUCAAAAGAUGCAGAUGGAAAAUGGUUCCUGAUUUUCCUGGUCUAAUAGCACAAAGCAGGUCUCCUACUGCAUAAAUAGUGACAUGUAUAAAUAACAGUCAUCAGGUCUCCCAGGGAAGGGUUUACAGUGAGGCUGUUGAACAACAGCUAUCUAAAGGGGACACAGCAAUUAAUUUGAAACCCAUAUGCUAUUUAUUUUAAUACUGUUAAAGACUUAUGGAAAUUCUUGAUUGUACUCUGAAACUUUUUUUUUUCCACUCACAAAAAUCAAAGUACUUUGAUCAAAAAUCUUUAAUUAAA